CGGACGGUACAUAUCGUUCCCCGAGAUGUGGGAUAUUUCAUUGUUAGAUGGGGGGUGGAGACAAUAGCCCCAAAGGAGUUCAAACAUGGUCGCCCUAAGAGGACGUUGUAAGAUGUAUUGGCAUCCACCAGCAAAUAUCGCACCUUCUUCUCUUCUCCCUCUCGUCUUGCCCCGAUGUGGGUCCACAAGUCCAGAUAUCCCCUGGUGUCGACCCUUUCUCCCG
rnacentral:lncRNA from 1 species